rnacentral:tRNA from 1 species
GGGGAUAUAGCUCAGUUGGUAAAGUGAGUGCCUCACAUGCACAAGGCCCUGGGUUCAAUCCCCAGCACCACG